rnacentral:rRNA from 1 species
UACGUAGGAGGCAAGCGUUGUCCGGAUUUAUUGGGCGUAAAGAGCGUGUAGGCGGCCAGGUAGGUCUGCUGUGAAAACUCGAGGCUUAACCUCGAGCUGUCGGCGGAAACCAUCUGGCUAGAGUCCGGAAGAGGAGAAUGGAAUUCCCGGUGUAGCGGUGAAAUGCGUAGAUAUCGUGGAGAACACCCGUGGCGAAGGCGGGUUUCUGGCUGAUUACUGACGCUGAGGUGCGAAAGCUAGGGAGCGAACGGG